rnacentral:rRNA from 1 species
CCUACGGGUGGCUGCAGUGGGGAAUAUGGGACAAUGGGGGCAACCCUGAUCCAGCCAUGCCGCGUGUGUGAAGAAGGCCCUCGGGUUGUAAAGCACUUUCAGUGAGGAAGAACGCCUGGUGGUUAAUACCCAUCAGGAAAGACAUCACUCACAGAAGAAGCACCGGCUAACUCCGUGCCAGCAGCCGCGGUAAUACGGAGGGUGCGAGCGUUAAUCGGAAUUACUGGGCGUAAAGCGCGCGUAGGUGGCUUGAUAAGCCGGUUGUGAAAGCCCCGGGCUCAACCUGGGAACGGCAUCCGGAACUGUCAAGCUAGAGUGCCGGAGAGGAAGGUAGAAUUCCCGGUGUAGCGGUGAAAUGCGUAGAGAUCGGGAGGAAUACCAGUGGCGAAGGCGGCCUUCUGGACUGACACUGACCCUGAGGUGCGAAAGCGUGGGUAGCAAACAGGAUUAGAUAACCCGGUAGUC